rnacentral:lncRNA from 1 species
CUUAGAAAUAGAAUGGACAAAAAAGUGUGGAAGAAUAAAAUAAUAAUAACUAGAAUUGCCAUUGCAAGCAAUAGCGGAUGUCACCCUGGUCCACCAAUUGCCACUAAACGGCAGCCUUUUCGAAAUUUUAACAUUAAAUUAACUUAAUUUACUUUACAAUACAUCAGUUUGCAAAUUUUUAGAAAGUUUAAAGUAUUUUUAAAAUUUUGAUGUUUUUACUGUUUCUAUGGCAACGGCGGCUGUUUUGAAAAUUCCAAAGUUAUACUUCUGCUUCAUAUUAUGCUCCCCAUAAUAUUUUAUAAUCAUAUAACAUUUAAUGGCUGUACAACACUUAUGUUCUGGAAUGUUCCAUCACAUUUUCACAUUUUGAUGUUUUUGCCUUGUUUCCAUGGUAACGGCAGCCAUUUUGGAAAUUCCAAAGUUGAAUGCCACAUCUAAAUUUGUCAGGCAACAUUUCUGUAAAAGUUUUAUUUAUUUUGAAAGAAUUUUCAAAUUUUUGAUAUUUUUGAUCAGUUUCUAUGGCAACAUCGUAGUUCCAAUGAAUCUCAAAAUCAUCCACAGCAUGUAUAUAGAGGACAGCUACAUUGUAUAAAAAUAUGAUGAUUAAAUGUUUUGUUAUAGUUAAAUUAUUCACCCCAAACUAAAACUUCAUUUUUUCACUCUUUUUCUGUUUCCAUGGUAACAGCAGACAUCCUGGAAGUGCCAACCUCGACUGCACUUCUGACAAUGGUCAUUAACAUUCUGGUAUAGUUCCAUUACAAUUGGUCCAUACCAUUCCAAGAAAUAGUAUGGACAAAAUGUGUGGAAUAAUAAUAAUAAGAAUAAAAAAAAGAAUCGUACAAUAACAAUAUGUCACCCGACCUCCGUCAGGGUGACAUAAUAACAAUAUGUCACCCCAACUCCGUUGAGGGUGCCAUAAUAAUAAGAAAAAAAAAAGAAACGUAGAAUAACAAUACGUCACCCCAACUCCGUUGAGGGUGCCAUAACUAGAUUUUCCAUUGCAAGCAAUAGCGGAUGGCACCCUUCCCCCAUUGCCAGGCGAGCGACAGCAAACUAGAAGAUUCCAAAGUCAAAGAGUGCAUCUACACAUUCAAAUUAUCAUUUUUGUAAAGUUUAAUGAAGUUUGGAGCAUUUUGAAAUUUUGGACAUUUUUGCUGUUUCCAUGGUUAUGGCGGCCAUUUUAAAAAUUCCAACUUCAAAAGUCAACUCUGCUUAUGCCAUUGACCAUUCCUGUAAAGUUUCAUCCAGUUUGCAGCAUUUUUAUUUUUUUUGAAAUUUUUUGACCUUUUAGCAUUGUUUCCAUGGUAACAACAGAUAUUUUGGAAAUUCCAACUUCAAAUACCACAUCUUCCAAUGUUGCUCAUCGUGACUGUGAAGUUUUUAUAAAGUUUGGAGCAUUUUGAUAUUUUUGAAAUUUUUCGUGUAGUUUCCAUGGCAACAUAGAUGUUCCAAAGAUCGCCAAAAUCAUUCCAACACAAGUGUAUAGUGGGCACCUACAUUGUAUUAAAAUAUAAUGAUUCUGAGUUUAAGCAUAUCCAAAUAGUUCACCAAAACCAAAAACCAGAAUUUUUCACAUUUGUUCCGUUUCCAUGGUAACGGCAGCCAUCUUGAACCAUUCCAUGCUUACUGCAACUCUUCACCUGUGGGUCCUCAAUAUAGUAGAGUUCCAUCAACAUUGGUCCAUUGGAGUUCGAGAAAUCGCGCGGACAAAAAUGUGUGGAAGAAAAAUAAUAA